GGCGAGAGGAGAAUGGAUGGUCCACCAGAAAAAAACUGUGGGAUGUGCAUCACUCAGGGGCCUUCACAGAGGACCAAGCAAACCUCGUGGACAAGUGGGUGAUUGAAGAGGUGGAUAUUCCUCUUCAGUACGAAAUGCGGUUGGAGUAUGGUGUGGUGGUAGUGCUUCCUGAAGCCUUGGCUGCAAUCUACCAGCUGCACAAAGGCACAGCCAGCCU